rnacentral:rRNA from 1 species
UAGGGAAUCUUCCACAAUGGACGCAAGUCUGAUGGAGCAACGCCGCGUGAGUGAAGAAGGUUUUCGGACCGUAAAGCUCUGUUGUUGGUGAAGAAGGAUAGAGGUAGUAACUGGCCUUUAUUUGACGGUAAUCAACCAGAAAGUCACGGCUAACUACGUGCCAGCAGCCGCGGUAAUACGUAGGUGGCAAGCGUUGUCCGGAUUUAUUGGGCGUAAAGCGAGCGCAGGCGGAAGAGUAAGUCUGAUGUGAAAGCCCUCGGCUUAACCGAGGAAUUGCAUCGGAAACUGUUUUCUUGAGUGCAGAAGAGGAGAGUAGAACUCCAUGUGUAGCGGUGGAAUGCGUAGAUAUAUGGAAGAAUACCAGUGGCGAAGGCGGCUCUCUGGUCUGCAACUGACGCUGAGGCUCGAAAGCAUGGGUAGCGAACAGGAUUAGAUACCCUGGUAGUCCAUGCCGUAAACGAUGAGUGCUAAGUGUUGGGAGGCUUCCGCCUCUCAGUGCUGCAGCUAACGCAUUAAGCACUCCGCCUGGGGGAGUACGACCGCAAGGUUGAAAC